GUGUGUGUGCGUGCAGGCACGCUGCAUCCAUUGAAAAAAAUUCCAUACACACACACAUGCACGAAGUAGUUGCAGUCGUGUAAACGCACAUGAAGGGUGCGCAACGCCGUUCAUUCACCUACAUUGCCCAUUCAUGCCGUUUGUCGAUUAAUAAAUCCCUACGCGACUUUGCCGUGUAUUGUUGCAGCUCAUUCAUCGGAAUCGGACAAACCAAAAACAGAAAUUUGGCGAAGUUGCACGCACUCAUCAAACAAUUUAUAACCAGGUCUCUAUAUUGUGCAGGUAAACGACCAUGGUUGUGUAUAAAAAUAAAGUGCAAGUGAUAUUUAAAAUUGGCAGUGCAUCUGCCUGAAACUUAUUUGUGUGUUAUGAAAAAAGUAUAAAAUUAAAUUUAAACAAAGAACUGAUGUGCGGAUAGAUAGAUUGUCAACCAACAAAAAUAGGAUAUCCAAACGGCUUCAAAUCGCUGCAUAAGGAGUAAACUGCUGAUUGGCGUAUUUCAAGAACAUAAUUCAGUGGUGUUUCCGUCAAAGGAAAAGGAACUCCAUAUGACUUUUUUCAGCGGGAUUUGGCUUUCUUUCUUUUCUUUGAUUUUUAUGUGGGAUCUACUGGUUAGCUUCCCGGAUUGGUAAUGUUGCCUGUUCCAAGUGUUAUCCACUGGCAGUUUCCCAGGUCUUUUGGCCGUUUCCAGAACCUUUUCGUUGCCUGGAACCCCUGUGCCGCACCUGGCGAUACAAAAAUAAUUGUUGGGGAUGCCCGCUUCUUUUUCGUCCAAGUCGGAUGGCGUUGUCCAAUUGUGGAUUUAUGCGCGGCGUUAUUCCUAAAUAGAACACAAAAACUUAACACAACACAUCCGACAUAACAUCACUUACAAAUCAACACUUACAAAUUGUUUAGAUACGCCACACAAAUAAAACAAUAAAACACACAAAUUGUAACUGCCAA